rnacentral:rRNA from 1 species
UACGAAGGGGGCUAGCGUUGUUCGGAUUUACUGGGCGUAAAGCGCACGUAGGCGGACUUUUAAGUCAGGGGUGAAAUCCCGAGGCUCAACCUCGGAACUGCCUUUGAUACUGGAGAUCUUGAGUCCGGAAGAGGUAAGUGGAACUGCGAGUGUAGAGGUGAAAUUCGUAGAUAUUCGCAAGAACACCAGUGGCGAAGGCGGCUUACUGGUCCGGAACUGACGCUGAGGUGCGAAAGCGUGGGGAGCAAACAGG